rnacentral:lncRNA from 1 species
AGUAUUAGAGAUUGAGACACAACGAAACGAUUCCAUACUUCAUCUCUCUUCUUCAGAUAUUCUGUUUCAUGGGCAAUCAAACUAGGUCUGUCAGCAAUAUAUUUUAUAAGUGUAUCGUGACACAAUUUUCCUUCUUUCACGAGAUCGCUGCAACAAAGAUCAGAGAGUGUUUCAUUUCGUAAGACAACCGCGAUUAUAUUCACCGCACACAUAGGAGUGAUUUUCACAAGACAAGUAUCCCAUAAUGUUUUUACUUCCC